AGAGUUUGAUCCUGGCUCAGGAUGAACGCUAGCGACAGGCCUAACACAUGCAAGUCGAGGGGCAGCGAAGAGGUAGCAAUACCUUUGUCGGCGACCGGCGCACGGGUGAGUAACACGUAUGCAAUCCACCUGUAACAGGGGGAUAACCCGGAGAAAUCCGGACUAAUACCCCAUAAUAUGGGCGCUCCGCAUGGAGAGCCCAUUAAAGAGAGCAAUUUUGGUUACAGACGAGCAUGCGCUCCAUUAGCCAGUUGGCGGGGUAACGGCCCACCAAGGCAACGAUCAGUAGGGGUUCUGAGAGGAAGGUCCCCCACAUUGGAACUGAGACACGGUCCAAACUCCUACGGGAGGCAGCA
rnacentral:rRNA from 1 species